rnacentral:snoRNA from 1 species
UUUCAGUGAUGACUUUGUCUUUGUGCCACGUGUCUGGGCCACUGAUAAUUAGUGAUGGGUUUGAGGAACUGAGGAA